UGCACAGUCCAAAAUCCAUUUUGAAUAAAACCAAGUUGUCAAAAUCCACAAAUAACAUAAUAUAUUAAAACAUAUAAAAGCAGUGAAUUAUAUAUACUAAUAAGAAAAACAAAUCCAGUAAUGAGUCACACCCAAUAAAUCACAAGACAUUGGAAACUUAAGCACAGAACGAAUCUAUCUAAAUCUUCAAUUUAAAACGAGGGCCAAUCAACUCAGUGGAUCCUACAGUUUCAAUAAUUAUAAAACACUUAAACCAAAAUCAUAUAAAGCUGGUGAGAGACGGUAAAUAUUCAAAAGCGCCACUGAGCUUUAUCACAAUAAUGAAGAAUAAAAUAUUAUUAAAGUAUAUGCAUAUCCAAGGGCCCAUCUCGCAAAAGAAAGAUAUGGAAUAGAAAACACACUUAGAAGAAAACAAAGGGAGUAAAGAAAACAAGAGAGAAGUUCAAUUGAGCCAACAAUUGGCACAGAUUUCAUAUUUCACGCAGAUAGUGGAUAAAUUGGGAUGUAAAACCAAAUUAGCCAAUCAGCAAACAAACAUCAAAAUCAUAACAAGAAAGCAC
rnacentral:misc_RNA from 1 species